AUUUUUUUUUAUACUUUUUUUUAAAUAAUAAAGGUAAUGAAAAUUCGAGAAACUAAAUUAAUUUAAAAUCUGAAUUAUUCUUCUAAAUUAAGAUCAGAUCUGCUAAAAAUUGCUAAAUUAUGACUUUAGGGUGACAGAAUUUCAUUCAGAUUGUUAGUCUGGUCACCCAAAACUAAGUUCUCGAAAGGAGCAUUAGAAAAUCUAGUGCGUAUUCUUAAAAGCAUUUUUGAAGUGGAAGAUAAUUUCAAUGGAUUGAUUUUUCUUUUUUUAAAGAUAGUGCUUUAGAGUAAGAAAAAUAAAAUUUUAUUUUUCU
rnacentral:misc_RNA from 1 species